GGGGACCCGGCACAAGCGGUGGAUGAUGUGGAUUAAUUCGAUGCAACGCGAAAAACCUUACCUACCCUUGACAUGUCCGGAAUCCUGCAGAGAUGCGGGAGUGCCCGAAAGGGAAUCGGAACACAGGUGCUGCAUGGCUGUCGUCAGCUCGUGUCGUGAGAUGUUGGGUUAAGUCCCGCAACGAGCGCAACCCUUAUCAUUAGUUGCUACGCAAGGGCACUCUAAUGAGACUGCCGGUGACAACCGGAGGAAGGUGGGGAUGACGUCAAGUCCUCAUGGCCCUUAUGGGUAGGGCUUCACACGUCAUACAAUGGUCGGUACAGAGGGUUGCCAAGCCGCGAGGUGGAGCCAAUCCCAGAAAGCCGAUCGUAGUCCGGAUUGUUCUCUGCAACUCGAGAGCAUGAAGUCGGAAUCGCUAGUAAUCGCGGAUCAGCAUGUCGCGGUGAAUACGUUCCCGGGUCUU
rnacentral:rRNA from 1 species